rnacentral:rRNA from 1 species
CCGCAAGGGGCGAAAGCCUGACGGAGCAAUACCGCGUGAGGGAGGAAUGCCUUUGGGUUGUAAACCUCUUUUCUCAGGGAAGAAGAUCUGACGGUACCUGAAGAAUAAGCAUCGGCUAACUCCGUGCCAGCAGCCGCGGUAAUACGGAGGAUGCAAGCGUUAUCCGGAAUUAUUGGGCGUAAAGCGUCCGCAGGUGGUUUUCAAAGUCCGCUGUUAAAGACUGGAGCUCAACUCCGGAAAGGCGGUGGAAACUUGAGAACUAGAGUUUGGUAGGGGUAGCAGGAAUUCCCAGUGUAGCGGUGAAAUGCGUAGAUAUUGGGAAGAACAUCGGUGGCGAAGGCGUGCUACUGGACCAUAACUGACACUCAGGGACGAAAGCUAGGGGAGCGAAAGGGAUUAGAUACCCCUGUAGUCCUAGCUGUAAACGAUGGAAACUAGGUGUGGCUUGUAUCGACCCGAGCCGUGCCGUAGCCAACGCGUUAAGUUUCCCGCCUGGGGAGUACGCACGCAAGUGUGAAACUCAAAGGAAUUGACGGGGGCCCGCACAAGCGGUGGAGUAUGUGGUUUAAUUCGAUGCAACGCGAAGAACCUUACCAGGGC